rnacentral:rRNA from 1 species
CCUGAGAAACCCAAAAGAUCGAAUGAGGAGAUUCAUCGUCAAAAUAUUUGGUAUUAAUGCUAGUUAUGAUAUGGUAAAUAAUCCUUGUGGUUAGUGUACUGUACAUUCUAGUAUUAUUUUUGCCUUAUAUGUCGGCGUGCACUUCUCCUCUAGUAGAACGUCGUGACCCGUUAAAUGUUGAUUUAUGGGCCGAUUGAUUGUCUCUUUCUGCUUGCAGUUGGAGAUCAUUGGUAUUUCUGAUCAACUAUUUGACGGUAUUCAAAUGGUAUUAAGUCGCUAUUUAUUAGCGUUAAAUUCAUCACAAGUGCGGUUAAUUUUUGAUAGUAUGGAUUUAAUGCCGUCGUUGAAAUUAACUAACUGUUAGUUGAUGAUAUUCUUUAACUGACUUUAAUACCGGUCAG